UUUGUUUUUCACAGCCUGUGAAUUGUUUUAAGGGCAUGUCACAAAUUUAGGUGUAAAAAUUGCUUUAUGAAAUUUUUAGGAGAGAGGUUAAAGAGGUAUUAGGUGUCUCUCCUCAGCUGAAACGUUUUUUUAAUUCAGAGAGAAAAUGCAGAGCAAGAUAAAACCAGACCCGUGUUAGUUCUCAGAUCACCAACUGUGAAUUGUCUGUGUUACGCUCUUAAAUUAAUACAUUACUGAAAUGGGGAGAGCAAUUUAUAUCUCCUAGCUAUUAUUUUACAUGCCUGUGCACCUGAGAAAAUAACCAUUUUAUGAUCAGCUCCCAUGAUGAGGAGUUUUGUAGCUGUGAAGUAGGUGUUCUUGUUUCAAGUGACUCCUGUGUUUUUCAACAAAGGGGUAGUCCUUUGAGCCAAGGUUUCAGAUUGUGAGGAGCUGCGUGAUCAUUUAAAUUGUACUUUAUCUAGUGAAUAUGAAUGCUGGGCUUCCAAAACUUGCAGUUUAAAAUCUAACUACAGAGACCAUUGUAUUUACGCUACAAAGAAAUGGGAAAGUUUGGAGAGGGCAGGGAGGAGUGUUAACUGUCAUGACAUCAGAUAUUCAAGUGGUAGAUAGAGGCAUCUUUGCUGUACCAUGUGUUAGUGUAAGUACCUGCUUUUAUGUAUAAAUGCCCACUGCUUUCCUUCCCUGGUGUUGCUGUGUUUCCAGACUGUCAUGUGCGUACAUCUUAAAGGGAAGAGGCUCUGGUAUUUUGUGAUUCUAAAUUGGUUGCCUGCUCCCUCUGCUGACUUGCUUGAGUGGGCUAAAGCUAAACAGAAGUACUCUGAAAUGAAUCUUCUUGUGAAGUGUGGAGGACUGUUGAACAAGUGGAGAUUUGAUGAAUUGCCAUAGAAAAAUGAUUUGGUACUUCUAAAAGUAGUGUUUUGUUUUCCAAAACACGGUAUUAAAACCCCACCCAACUAUUUCUAAAGUGUUUCUUUCUGCAAAUACCGUGGGAUGGCACUAAGCUUCUGAGUUUGUCCUUUCUGAAGCAGGUAUUUUGUCAGCAUUUGCCUAACCCACAGGCUGUCACAUUAUUAGAACAUUGCUACUUAUUACUGAUCUUUGUCAUACAGUUUAUUGUAAAUAUGAAAGUAUUUUU